rnacentral:lncRNA from 1 species
AUGCCUGUUUCGUGAGAUUGCGGUGCAGGUCACAAAAUGCUGACUCGGGAAAUCACAGACGACGGUUGGCCGACUUUCCCACCCGCAGACCGAGGGUCCCACCCCGCGCGUGGCCCUCUGGCAUUCCGCCGUUCUAUGAAACAGGUCGAGAUCGUUUCUUCUGACUUUGCGCCUGGGAAAACUCGUGGACCAGAAGGUUUAGUUGCUUUUCCAGAAUGUGUCAAUAGGGAGAGCAGCUUGGGCCUGGAACUGGCUAGAUCCUGGCUAAGUAGACCCUGGGGUCUCUACCGCUCGUACCUUUGAGAAGAGAGUCGCCUCUUGCUUUCUGUCAAGUAUUUGCCCCAGACUGCUGUACCUGCUAUGAGAUUGCAGGUUAAUGAAGGCCAGACGGGAAGCCUCUGUCUUCUUUUCUUUCAAGAGACCCUGGACCUGUAUCCCAGCUUUGUUCGGAGUCAAGGAGGAAAUUCCUUCAUCGCUAACUUCACUGUCUGAGCCUGAACCAGAAGGAAUAACAACAUGUGCGAUUUUAACUGUUUUCAGCAUCUGUUAUGACACAAUCCGUGAAGCCUUUUGUUAAUUUUCCUGACGAUUACCUCCCGCUCAUAUACUUUCCCCACAGCUGUCUGGCCCUUUUCCUGGGCCAGCCCGACACUCUAAAGUAACAGGAUUUCUGAAAUCCCAACUGCGCUCCGUCGCCAAAGACGACUUUUGCUCACUGGGGCCCGGCGAGUUGUUUUAAAACACCAGCCCGUGCCAGGUAACAAGGCAAAGAGCUACGACUCUCUCACAACCGAGGGUAAUUCAUCAACUUGGAGGGGGCCAGAUAGAAACGGCGAGAUCCUCAACUUCCUCAAAACCCCUUUCUAGCCCUCCAAACGAAAAGUCUCAAGUGCAGAAACAUAUUUGUCACAACGUGGAAAUCUCGCGAGCCAUCACCACGGCUCCCCGUGUGGAUACUAACUUUCUGUCCCAAAUUGUAAAAUGUAUCGGCAUGUGCAGUAAGGCGAUACCACGGUUUCUUAGAACCCGCGUCCCGCUUUAGGGAGAAGUAAGAGUAAGGCAGGGAAUUUUGAGUAUGAGUCUCCUUCUUAUGGGUGGAAAACUGUCUGCCACAGAUUUGGGUAGAGGGAAAAGGUCCCUGACGUUUGGACGGACCGAGUUCCUCAUGUGCAGCCCGGAAGAGGUUUUCCCCGGACAGCGGUGGGGAUGUAGUUAGUGUUCCCAAGAACUCCUUGGUGGAGAUUUUUACGUCUGGGACACGCCUCUCCCAGGGGACUGUGUGCUGAUCUGGAGGAGGACACGUCAGCCACCGAUCCGGAACCUCCUUAUGCCCUUUCUAGACGUACUUCUGUGGUAUUUUGGAGAACAGUAACUAUGUAGGCUCCGCCGUGCACCCCUGGUGUAGCUGUGCAUCAGCAGCCCACGGUAGGCUCUGGGGUCAACAUGAUGUUGGCCUAUUUGGGAUACGACGGCACGUGAAGCUUUAUGUUUCGAUCCACCUCUCCACGAGAAAGCCUUCUAAAGAGAGCAACAGUUAUGGCACGUUGUCACAGAGAGGGUCUCAGUAAUUUUUAUGUUUCUUUUUUUUAAAAUUUUUUGUAAUAUUUUAUUUAUUUUUGAGACAGGGAGAGACAGAGCAUGAACGGAGCAUGAACAGGGAGAGACAGAGAGAGGGAGACACAGAAUCUGAAACAGGCUCCAGGCUCUGAGCUGUCAGCACAGAGCCCGACGUGGGGCUCGAACUCACGAACCGUGAGAUCAUGACCUGAGCCGAAGUCGGAUGCUUAACCGACUGAGCCACCCAGGCGCCCCUAAUUUUUAUGUUUCCGAUUUGACUUUGCCUUCACCUCCCACCAAGCCCAGGAUCCGAGAUGCCGUGAAAUUUCUCACACGGUAAAGCUGGAUCAUGGAAUGGCACGUCAAACCUAAGUCCUUUUCCAUUGUUUUUCCACCACCGAGAAUUAUUUAAAAAGAUCUCUGUGGCCAGGACAGUAGGGAUCCUGCAUUAUCUAUCGCAAGGUCAGGAAGAAAAAUUAUUAAGAAGUUCAAGCCCAGGGGCGCCUGGGUGGCUCCGUUGGUUAAGCGCCCAACUCUCGGUUUCCACUCGGGUCAUGAUCUCGAGGUUCAUGAGUUCAAGCACCAUGUCGGGCUCCCUGCUGACAGUGCAGAGCCUGCUUGGGAUUCUCUCUCUCUCUCCUCUCUCUCUCUCCCCCCCCCCCCCCCACCUUUCCCCUGCUUGCUUUCUCUCUCUCUCUCUCUCUCUCAAAAUAAAUAAAUAAACUUAAAAAAAAAGUCCA